UGACAGACUCGCGUUGACUUUCGGGAGCUUGAAAUUUAAACUAGCUGUCGCUUCUCUGAGAGUUAAUGUAUUAAUUUUUCGAUAUUUGCAACAUUUAUAUUAUUAACGCCCAAAAGAGGGAGGGUAAGCCAACUUGCUGUUUUCAACGUAUAUGUUUCUAAUAUCGAUUAUACAAUUUUAGCUCUAGCAAAUAAUAACAACAACAACCAAAAUAACAACAACAAGAGAGAGGCUUAUGCCAAUAACAACAACAAUAAUAACAACAACAAGAGAGAAGGUAAUUAAAAUGUCGUUAACUAUAUUUCAUAAUGUUCAUUAUACAAUUCUAUUUUCAGCAAACAACAACCAAAAUAAUAACAACAACAACAACAAGAGAGAAGGUAAAUAAACCUUUUGUCUUCUAUUAUUCUUCUAAUUUAUAAGUGUCUUGAAAAAUGUUAUGUUAUUUGUUAUAUAUCGUUUUUUUUCAAUAUUUCUCUUACUUUCUUAAAGCGAACAACCAAAACAACAACAACAACAACAACCGAAAGAGGGAAGGUAAGAGCCAAUUUGACGAAAUAUUGCUGAUUUUUGUUCUACUCAUUUUAUUUUUUUAAUUUAUAGCUAACAACCAAAACAACAACAACAAUAAUAACGCCAAUAAGAGGGAAGGUAAGAACAUUUCCUCAUAAAAUCUUUUCUUCAUUUUAUGAAUUGUGUCAUUCAAUUUAACUCUUUUUCAGCUAACAACCAAAACAACAACAACAACAACCGAAACAAUAACAACCAGAAGAGGGAAGCUUAUAACAAUAACAACAACAACCAGAACAACAACAACAACUGGAAGAGGGAAGCUAACAACAACAAUAACAACAAUCGAAAUAAUAAUAACAACGAGAACUAGAACGCUCAUGCAAGAGACCUGUAUCCAUGCCUCACGAUCGACAGACACCCGCGAUACAAUCAAUGCACAGGCAAACGAACGUAACACUAGUGGCAAAUGUCAAAUGAAGAACGAAGGAUGGAAGGAGGCUGAAUGGCGACGUAAUUGUAGGAAACUAGGAAUCGAAACAACCGUUCGAUGUGUGGAUGAUAGAAGUUUUACCAGUGUUAUGUCUGUCUGUCUUCCCCUGCUUUGUGACGAAUUUGAAUAAAAAAAAAGAUGGAAGCA